ACGCUGGCGGCGUGCCCAAUACAUGCAAGUCGAACGGUCUUUCUAUGGAAGCUUGCUUCCACUGAGAAGAUAGUGGCGAACGGGUGAGUAACACGUGGGUAACCUGCCCAUAAGAGGGGGAUAACAUCCGGAAACGGGUGCUAAUACCGCAUAGUUUUCUUGAUCGCAUGAUCGGGAAAGGAAAGACGGCCUUUGUGCUGUCGCUUAUGGAUGGACCCGCGGCGUAUUAGUUAGUUGGUGAGGUAACGGCUCACCAAGACAAUGAUACGUAGCCGACCUGAGAGGGUGAUCGGCCACAUUGGGACUGAGACACGGCCCAAACUCCUACGGGAGGCAGCAGUAGGGAAUCUUCCGCAAUGGACGAAAGUCUGACGGAGCAACGCCGCGUGAGUGAAGAAGGUUUUCGGGAAUCGUAAAACUCUGUUGUCAGAGAAGAACAAGUUGGAGAGUAACUGCUCCAGCCUUGACGGUAUCUGACCAGAAAGCCACGGCUAACUACGUGCCAGCAGCUGC
rnacentral:rRNA from 1 species